CCUACUAUUCUUUAAUUCAGAAAAUAAUUGUAUUAUAUAUCUAUAGAGAUUAUUAUAUUUUAAUGUUUCGAGUGCAUGCUAGAAUUUUCCGUAAAUACAUUAUACCAAACAUCCAUAAUUAAUGCAUGACAAUGAAAGUCUUCAUAGUUUAUUGGUAGCCAUCGACAUGCUAUGAUGUCAAGAUAGGUUCUUGCUCAUGAUUGGACGUGCUUUGCACAAGGCCUCUAGCAGCCCAACCUUAGGCAUAGUAAGCCCUCUGCCUUCUAACAUGUCGAUAUGCCUGUCAGUGACCCUCUUCCAUUCAAAGCAUUGAAUCAAUGUCCCCAAAGCUAAACCCACCAGGCGAUGGGCUAGACCUGUCCCUGGACAAGCCCUUCGCCCCAGUCCAAAUGGUAUAAGCUUGAAGCCAUCACCGUCGCCUUCUCCGUUAUCAAAUCUCUCAGGCUUAAAACUCAAUGGAUCAUCCCAAAGGGAAGGAUCCCUAUGUAUGGCCCAUGCAUUUACCAACACCAUUGUAUCACGUGGCAAGUCAUAUCCUCCAAUACUGCAAUUGUCAGAUGAUACGUGAGGGAGGAGAAGUGGUGCUGCUGGGUAUAAUCGUAGGGUCUCGACGAUGAUCUUUUGAAGGUAUGGUAAUGUGGAAAGAUGAAGUUCAUCUAGUAAGCAUUCCUGGCCAACUUGAUUAUCUAUUUCAUCUCUGGCCUUCCUCAGUAUGUUUGGAUGGUUGAGUAGAUUGGACAUCACCCAUUCUAAUGUCACCGCUGAUGUGUCCGUUCCGGCAAAUAGCAAAUUCAAUAUGAGCCCUUUAAUAAUCUCAUCCGUGUAAUAUUCAGGUUCUGAUUCUUGCAAAGAAAGAAGAUGAUCAAUCAUAGUGUUCAUGCUCUCUAAAUUCUCCUUCUUGCCUCUGUGUUCAUCAAUCAAACGUUGCAAGAAUUCAUCAGACCUUUUUCCAAGUCUUUUCAACUUCUUCUCAAACCUACCACCAUCAAUCCAAUUCAAGAUUGGAAAAUAAUCCCCUCGAUUUGCUGCCCCUGCAUUAGAAACUAUCUCACCCGUUAUCUCUCUGAAUUGUCUUGCCUCUUCCUCGUCACUUACAUCUUCUCCAUAAUACGUUUUCCCUGCGAUCAUCCUCACCAUAACGUUAAAUGCUAGUUCUUUAAACAUUGAUUUCAGCUCUACCUUGGUAAAAUCUUGCAGUGACUCGCGUGAUAGCUUUGUGAUUGAUUGCUUGAUUUCCUCUUUUCGGAUCCCCAGAAACAUGUUCAGGCGAUGAGUGGAGAAGACCUCAAUGGCUGCAAUACGGCGGAGGUUGCGCCAGUGUUCGCCAUAGGAGGAUUGAGAAAUGGUAGUGUUGUUAUAACAUAUGUACUUGCCUACUAGAGAUUGUGGACGGUUGGCUAAAAUAACGUCAUUCUUGGUGAAGCAUUCCUCAACGGCAGAUGAAGAUGAGAUGACAACAACGAGGCGGCGUCCGAAGCGGAGGGAGAAGAUGGGGCCGUAUUUUUUAGCGAGAGUUUGGAGAGUGCGGUGCAUAGGUGGCUUUAGGAGAUGGAGAUGGCCGAUAACUGGAAGUGCAGGUGGGCUUGGAGGGAGGUUUCUGUGGCAUAUUCUUGAUCGGAAAAUUUUAAAAACAAGGAAGAGGAUAAGAAGGGAAACGAAGAAGUAAGGCAUCGAGUCUUCCAUGAUUGAAAAUUUUUUUACUGAACUUCGAAAAGUUUCCAAGAGUCUGUGCUUAUGGCGGCAGGCCGAGAGUAGGGAAAUGAUAAGCCGAAAUGGGACGGAAAUGUUAAGCCGAAAUGGGACGGAAAUGU
rnacentral:misc_RNA from 1 species